GUUCUCUAAAUGUUGGUUUUGUAUCGAUUUUAAUUGAAUCAGACCAUUGGUAAGCCAAAGCAUUAUAUAUAUCAUAUUUUAUUAACCUAGCAAUCAAAAGAAAAAGGAAAGGAAAGUGCAUCGAGAACCGCCUCCAUUAAUCUCCAUCACGUCUUCUUCCUCUUCAUCACGUCUUCAAGUACACACUCCUAUUGUCCUUUCCUUCACGCCAGAGAAAGGAGUUCCUUGCGCCGUCAUCCUAGAUCGAUUCAGGAGACUUUAGCCUUUGAACCAAGGCUCUUUGGAUAGAUCUCGUUUCCAGGAAUCUGUAGCAGCAAACGGAAUCGAGAUCGAAGUUGUACAACAAAAGUUAUUGACUUUGCUUCUUGGCCAAGAAUAAACUUAAGCUGUUGUGGUGCAGAGACAGUUCCGACCAGUCCCAGCGUAAAGGCGAAACGGUCGACCAAAACAGAAGCUUUCAGUAUGGAAAUUUGUCAGUAAGUAUUUCACUCUUUUAUCUAUCAUCUCCCAGAAGCGGAUUGUCAUUCCGAGUUAUUUUCUGAAAGUUGUGUUUGUUCUCGCGAGAGGUAUUGCUGCAGUCUUCGUAUGCGACCAGCCUGCAGGUGAGGCCAUUUUGGUUGAUCAAAUGGUGGCCAAUCGGAGUAAACCCGGUGGCUACGGACAAAGGACAUAUAGGACUACAUUCUUACCGGAGGGAUUGAAAGUUUAACGAAAGCUCCGGAGUUGUUAUUUUAGAGCCAGCAAAAUUCAUUCGGUGUGUUCAGGUUUUCUGAAGAACCUGUGGCAAAGGUGAGGGUCUAUUCCC